rfam:Hortaea werneckii EXF-2000 unitig_657, whole genome shotgun sequence.
GGUGAGGUGGCCGAGUGGUUAUGGCGCUAGUUUCAGGUAUAGAACACUAUACGCCGAAAUGGAUCAACACACAUUACUAGUGGAGCAAUCCUCGUGGGUUCGAGUCCCACCCUCAUCA